rnacentral:rRNA from 1 species
AUUGAACGCUGGCGGCAGGCCUAACACAUGCAAGUCGAACGGUAACAGGAAACAGCUUGCUGUUUCGCUGACGAGUGGCGGACGGGUGAGUAAUGUCUGGGAAACUGCCUGAUGGAGGGGGAUAACUACUGGAAACGGUAGCUAAUACCGCAUAACGUCGCAAGACCAAAGAGGGGGACCCUCGGGCCUCUUGCCAUCGGAUGUGCCCAGAUGGGAUUAGCUUGUUGGUGGGGUAACGGCUCACCAAGGCGACGAUCCCUAGCUGGUCUGAGAGGAUGACCAGCCACACUGGAACUGAGACACGGUCCAGACUCCUACGGGAGGCAGCAGUGGGGAAUAUUGCACAAUGGGCGCAAGCCUGAUGCAGCCAUGCCGCGUGUAUGAAGAAGGCCUUCGGGUUGUAAAGUACUUUCAGCGGGGAGGAAGGGAGUAAAGUUAAUACCUUUGCUCAUUGACGUUACCCGCAGAAGAAGCACCGGCUAACUCCGUGCCAGCAGCCGCGGUAAUACGGAGGGUGCAAGCGUUAAUCGGAAUUACUGGGCGUAAAGCGCACGCAGGCGGUUUGUUAAGUCAGAUGUGAAAUCCCCGGGCUCAACCUGGGAACUGCAUCUGAUACUGGCAAGCUUGAGUCUCGUAGAGGGGGGUAGAAUUCCAGGUGUAGCGGUGAAAUGCGUAGAGAUCUGGAGGAAUACCGGUGGCGAAGGCGGCCCCCUGGACGAAGACUGACGCUCAGGUGCGAAAGCGUGGGGAGCAAACAGGAUUAGAUACCCUGGUAGUCCACGCCGUAAACGAUGUCGACUUGGAGGUUGUGCCCUUGAGGCGUGGCUUCCGGAGCUAACGCGUUAAGUCGACCGCCUGGGGAGUACGGCCGCAAGGUUAAAACUCAAAUGAAUUGACGGGGGCCCGCACAAGCGGUGGAGCAUGUGGUUUAAUUCGAUGCAACGCGAAGAACCUUACCUGGUCUUGACAUCCACGGAAGUUUUCAGAGAUGAGAAUGUGCCUUCGGGAACCGUGAGACAGGUGCUGCAUGGCUGUCGUCAGCUCGUGUUGUGAAAUGUUGGGUUAAGUCCCGCAACGAGCGCAACCCUUAUCCUUUGUUGCCAGCGGUCCGGCCGGGAACUCAAAGGAGACUGCCAGUGAUAAACUGGAGGAAGGUGGGGAUGACGUCAAGUCAUCAUGGCCCUUACGACCAGGGCUACACACGUGCUACAAUGGCGCAUACAAAGAGAAGCGACCUCGCGAGAGCAAGCGGACCUCAUAAAGUGCGUCGUAGUCCGGAUUGGAGUCUGCAACUCGACUCCAUGAAGUCGGAAUCGCUAGUAAUCGUGGAUCAGAAUGCCACGGUGAAUACGUUCCCGGGCAA